rnacentral:tRNA from 1 species
UUCCUGGUGGCUUAGAUGGUAAAGAAUCUGUCUACAAUGCAGGAGACCUAGGCUCGAUUUCUGGGUCAGGAAG